ensembl:lncRNA
ACUACCACCACCUGGGGCUGAGGAUCAGAUCUGUAGACUCUCCGUGCAGUAGCGAUCAGAGCUUGAUGAGCCCCCUCCUGGCUGCACUGGAGUGUCAGGAACCAGACCCUAGCAGAGCUCAGCACCCAGCUCCUUUGUCUCGCCCGCCCCCUCGUCCCCACUUCCUGCCCAGCUUCUAGCUAGCGAUCUGCGAUGCGGCACGGACUUUGUAAACACGCCGCGCCUGUGGGGUGGACGCCUGUUGUGUUUGGGUGCCGCGGAAGCGGGGUGCACGCCCCUGUCCUGUCCGUGCUGGCGGCUGUGAUCACGCCUACUGUCCAAAAACAGAUCUCCAGCAGCUGGAGAGAACGUGAGGCCGCCAUCCGAGCUUCGGGGGACUCAACUGCCAAGAGCCCUGAGCCCUGAAAGCUUCUGGAAGGAAGUUGUGGACCAGCAGACCUUCAGGAGGAGAAAGGAGAAGGAUGGCAGUGUUCAGUGAUCUGAAGUAACUGUGAGAUGAUUGGCCUCGCCUGUCACCUGGUUGCCCCUUCUGGGUCUCAAAUGGAGACAUUCCUAUGAUAAAGAGGUGAGGGAGUGGGAGGAGGAAGGAGGCUUGGUGUCCCUCUUCCUUGGGGCUUUGCCUCUGGCCUGUGACUUUUCAUUCCAGCUCUCCACUAAUUUGCCAUUUCAUUGAGUAACUUUUUGUAAUUGGAUGCACCUGGCCUGAAGCGCUUCCAUUUACUUCCCCUGGUCAUCUGCCUUCUUAUCUGUUCUUUCUUUGAGACAAGCGUCUCCGUCUCCCAUAGCCCAGGGUAGGUUUGUACUUUGGAUCUUCCUGCUUCUGCCUCCUGAGUGCUGAGAUUACCAGUGUGAACCAGUAUACCUGAGUGCUGAGAUUACCAGUGUGUGCAGUAUACCUGAGUGCUGAGAUUACCAGCGUGUGCAGUACACCUGAGUGCCGAGAUUACCGAGUGCGCCACUGCACCUGGGUUUGCUCCAUCAUUUCUUCCUUUUACCUAGUGUUGGGAAUUGAAUUUAGGGCUUCAAUCAUAUAAAUCAAACACUCUACCCACUGAGUACAUCCCCAGUCCUUGCUUUGUUGCUUGGUCUUCUUAGCUCUACCUUCGAAGAGCAGUGAUGGUGAAGCACACCGGUGCACCUCUCAGGAGUUCUCGGAGGAGCAAUGUGCUCCUUCAGCAGCCGUCCUUCAUGUAGCUGGCUAGCUCCUUAGCCCUGAAGACCCCAGACAGAGGGGCUCUUGAAGACAAAGCCACUUCUAGAACUCAGCUGUCUCUGGGCGCCCUUCCUUUCUCUGUUAAGAGACCAACAAGGGAUAAGUCAAUAUACACUCAUGGGACAGCACAAGAGACAAGUGGAUGAGGUGGUCAAGAGCUGGGGUGGGACAACCUCCACUGCUAAGCCUCCCCCAUUUCCUAACUCAAGCGUGUUUAACUUUUUCUUUCCCCUUAUUCUCUUCUCCAAAUUCCUAAGCAUGUUUGUCCUGGUGCUCUGGGAUUCCCCCCAACCCCCACUUUUUUUUUUUUUUCUCUGAUUUCUCCCAUUCCAUUUCUACAGAUGCUUACAGAUCUCCUCUGUUGCUGGUCCUGACUAAAAAAGCAUGACUUUCUCUCUUCUUCAAUCUAUCUCCCUCUUCCUGGCAGCUACCUUCCUUGUUUUUGUUUUCAAACUCUAAUACUUUAAAGUAAAUGGAACCCGGGGGUUAGAGAUGUAGCUCAGUGGUAGAGCAUACCUGCCUAGCAUGCACCAACUGCCCGGCUUUGAACCCCAGCAUCUCUCUCUCCUGUUCUCCCUCCUGACCCCCUCCCCUGCUGCAAGGGCUUGAGCUCAGGAGCUAGACUGGACUGCAGCCUGCCUCCAUCACUCGAUAGCUGUGUGACCUCUCAAUGGUUACUUAGUCACUCAAUCUGAGUAUUAGCACCCCAGCCCCCAUUAAAAGGGGCAAAAUAGCCAGGAGGUGGUGGUGAACCCCUUUAAUCCCCUCAUUCAGAAGGCAGAGGCAGGUGGAUCUCGUAGUUCAGGGCCAGCCUUGUCAACAGAGUGAGUUCCAGGACAGCCAAGGCUACAGAGAGAACCCCCCCCCCCAAAGGGAAUGGGUAAAAUAAUAUACUUCCCGUAAGGUUGUUGUGUAGACGAGAUGAUUUAUUACAUCUCAGGUAUGUUUGGUUCUGGAAUAUAGUACAAUUACAUGAAGACCUGUUUCUGUUGUUGGUGUUACAGGGAGGUGGUGUAUCCCUCUAACAUGCAGCCAUACAGGACUUUGUCUUUGUCCUUAAGGACAGGAAGUUUGGUGGUGCAUGCCUGUAAUCCCAGGAUUUGAAUGGAGCAGGCAGCAGGAUUGUUGCAAGAUGGAGGCUCUUCAUAGGCCAGUGCUACAUAGCAGGGCCUGUCAAAACAAAACAAAACAAAACAAAACAAAACAAAAAACUAACAGGUGCAUGCAAUUGGAAGGUAAUGGCAGAUCAAAUCCAGCCUCGAUUAUAGAGUAAAUUCAAAGCCAGCCUGGGUAACUAAGACCUUGUUUCAGAAAGUGCCCGCUUAUUUAU